rnacentral:rRNA from 1 species
AACGAACGCUGGCGGCAGGCCUAACACAUGCAAGUCGAACGCUCCGCAAGGGGGAGUGGCGCACGGGUGAGUAACACGUGGGAACCUACCUUCUGGUACGGAACAACCAAGGGAAACUUUGGCUAAGACCGUAUACGACCUCCGGGUGAAAGAUUGAUCGCCGGAAGAGGGGCCCGCGUCCGAUUAGGUAGUUGGUGAGGUAACGGCUCACCAAGCCUUCGAUCGGUAGCUGGUCUGAGAGGAUGACCAGCCACACUGGGACUGAGACACGGCCCAGACUCCUACGGGAGGCAGCAGUGGGGAAUAUUGGACAAUGGGCGCAAGCCUGAUCCAGCCAUGCCGCGUGAGUGAUGAAGGCC